GGGGAUGUAGCUCAGAUGGUAGAGCGCUCGCUUAGCAUGCGAGAGGUACGGGGAUCGAUAAACUAGUGCGUGUUUUUUUCAUUUCUU
rnacentral:tRNA from 1 species